UGAACUGAGAAUAGGUCCCCCGUUGAAGGAAUCAGAGAAAGAACUGGAAGAGCUUGAAGGUGCUCGAGACCCCAAAAGUACAACAAUGUCAAGCAACCAGAGCUUCCAGGGACUAAGCCACUACCUAAAGACUAUACAUGGACUGACCCUGGACUCUGUCCCCAUAGGUAGCAAUGAAUAUCCUAGUAAGAGCACCAGUGGAAGGGGAAGACCUGGGUCCUGCUAAGACUGAACCCCCAGUGAACUAGACUAUGCGGGGAGGGUGGCAAUGGGGGGAGGUUUGGGAGGGGAACACCCAUAAGGAAGGGGAGGGGGGAGGGUGAUGUUUGUCUGGAAACCGGGAAAGGGAAUAACACUUGAAAUGUAUAUAAGAAAUACUCAAGUUAAUAAAAAAAAAAAUGACUCAUAAUGGUUUGACCAAAUUGUAAGAUUUGUUGAAGAAAGCUUAGUAGCAAUGGAAAUGGUUGGUUUCUUGUCAGACAACUUCACUUCUUAAGUUGUCCUUAAGUCAUUUACAUGUUGUAUUAGUUACUUUCCUGUUGGUAUGAGGAAAAAGAAAAUACCAUCACCAAGGCAACUAGAGAUGAAGGGGAGGGUUUAUUUGGGCUUAUGGUUCUAAAGAGAUAACAGUCCAAAUUGAAAAGAAUAGUGUGGCAGGAGGCUGCAGGUAUA
rnacentral:lncRNA from 1 species